rnacentral:rRNA from 1 species
AUGGCCGCCGCGUCGUUCGCGCUCGCGCUUGUGCUCUACCUCGGCCUCGACCUCCCCGAGGCGUCGCCGUCGCAGUCCUACGCCGCCGACUCGGACAGCACUGUGGAGAUUUCCUACGGAUCAGUGAUCAAGUUGAUGCAUGAGAGGACCAAGUUUCGGCUGCAUUCCCACGACGUGCCGUAUGGAUCUGGUAGCGGCCAGCAAUCGGUCACCAGCUUCCCCAAUGUGGAUGACGCCAACAGCUACUGGAUUGUGAGACCUCAACCGGAUACUUCAGCAAAACAAGGUCAUGCUAUAACACCUGGAACAAUCGUCAGGCUUCAACAUAUGAGGACUAGAAAGUGGUUGCACAGCCAUCUGCAUGCUUCUCCCAUUACGGGGAAUCUGGAGGUUAGUUGCUUUGGUGGUGAGGGUGAGUCAGAUACAGGAGACUAUUGGAUAAAAAAGAGGACUAGUGGAUCGAAGAUUGAUCAAAGGAGGUCAACCAGGGCGUCACAUGGCUUGGUGGUGUGUGUCAGCCCUAGGGCGCGCCAGGUGUCUGUGUGGUCUGAUGGAGUCAUGUACCUAGGGUAG